GUGCUCACUUCGGCAGCACAUAUACUAAAAUUGGAACAAUACAGAGAAGAUUAGCACAGCCCCUGGAAAAGGAUGACAUGCGGUUCGUGAGGUGUUCCAUAUUUUU